GCGGGGCGGGGCCUGGGCGCGGGGCGGGAGGCGGUGACCAGCAGCAGUAGGAGGAGAAAGAACAUGGCGGGCGCAGCGAUGUCCGGGACCUGCGCGGGAGCAGCGGGCGGAGAUGGAGACGAUUCGCUAUACCCUAUCGCAGUUUUAAUUGACGAGCUCCGCAAUGAAGACGUGCAGCUCCGACUCAACAGUAUUAAGAAGUUAUCAACAAUUGCCCUAGCACUUGGAGUAGAAAGGACACGAAGUGAAUUGCUGCCAUUCCUUACAGAUACAAUUUAUGAUGAAGAUGAGGUACUAUUAGCUCUUGCUGAGCAGCUGGGAAAUUUCACCGGCCUAGUGGGAGGUCCUGACUUUGCCCACUGUCUGCUGCCUCCUUUGGAAAAUCUGGCGACUGUGGAAGAGACUGUUGUUCGUGACAGAGCUGUGGAGUCCCUGAGACAGAUCUCCCAGGAGCAUACUCCUGUUGCCCUGGAAGCUUAUUUUGUACCUCUGGUGAAACGCCUAGCAAGUGGGGAUUGGUUUACCUCUCGCACGUCUGCAUGUGGUUUGUUCAGCGUUUGCUAUCCCAGGGCAUCAAAUGCUGUUAAAGCAGAUAUUAGACAGCACUUCCGUUCCUUGUGCUCAGAUGACACACCAAUGGUACGACGUGCUGCUGCUUCCAAAUUGGGUGAAUUUGCAAAAGUUUUGGAAUUAGACAGUGUGAAAAGUGAAAUUGUUCCAUUGUUCACUAAUCUAGCUUCAGAUGAACAGGAUUCAGUGCGCCUCCUAGCUGUGGAAGCUUGUGUCAGUAUUGCCCAGCUAUUGUCUCAGGAUGACGUUGAGACCUUGGUGAUGCCUGCACUUCGACAAGCAGCAGAAGAUAAAUCUUGGCGAGUUCGCUAUAUGGUAGCUGACAAAUUUUCAGAGCUCCAGAAAGCUGUGGGUCCUAAAAUCACCCUAAAUGACCUCGUCCCCGCCUUUCAGAACCUACUUAAAGACUGUGAAGCUGAAGUCCGGGCAGCUGCUGCCCACAAAGUAAAAGAACUUUGUGAGAACUUGCCCAUUGAAGAUAGAGAGACCAUAAUUAUGAAUCAAAUUCUGCCCUAUAUAAAGGAAUUAGUAUCUGAUACCAGUCAACAUGUCAAAUCGGCCCUAGCUUCUGUAAUUAUGGGAUUGUCUACUAUUGUGGGCAAAGAGAAUACCAUUGAACAUCUUCUACCUCUUUUUUUAGCUCAGUUAAAGGACGAGUGUCCUGAAGUUCGUUUGAAUAUCAUCUCCAAUUUGGAUUGUGUAAAUGAAGUCAUUGGAAUUCGUCAGCUCUCUCAGUCUCUCCUUCCUGCCAUAGUGGAGCUGGCUGAAGAUGCCAAAUGGAGGGUCCGGCUGGCUAUCAUUGAGUAUAUGCCACUGCUGGCAGGCCAGCUGGGUGUGGAAUUCUUCGAUGAGAAGCUGAAUUCUUUAUGUAUGGCUUGGCUCGUGGACCAUGUUCUGGGAUACAUGUGCAGAACGUGCAGUAUAUGCCAUCCGAGAAGCUGCUACCAACAACCUCAUGAAACUAGUUCAGAAGUUUGGUACAGAGUGGGCCCAAAAUACCAUCGUUCCCAAAGUGUUAAUAAUGGCAAAUGAUCCUAAUUACUUGCAUAGAAUGACCACUUUAUUCUGCAUUAACGCACUGUCUGAGGCCUGUGGUCAGGAAAUAACCACUAAGCACAUGCUGCCCAUCGUAUUAAAAAUGGCAGGAGACCAAGUAGCAAAUGUUCGCUUCAAUGUGGCCAAAUCUCUACAAAAAAUUGGACCAAUUCUAGAUACCAGUGCUUUACAGGGAGAAGUUAAGCCAGUACUACAGAAAUUAGGUCAAGAUGAAGACAUGGAUGUCAAAUACUUCGCACAGGAAGCUAUAAGUGUGGUGGCACAAAGGCUGAGGAAGCUAGAUUUUCCUGUGAAUGACAGUGAAGAGCCCAGUGUCCCUUGGGUUGACAAGAGCCACUUCCCAAGACCCAGAGUGCCUGGAGAAGACACAGGGAAGGGGCCAGCAUAUCAGUUGCAUGGAAAUACUAGAGACACACUUGCCCAGCUGGAAAUUGCAGAGCUAGUGCAUUUCUCCCAGAGCAGAGACUAAUACUCCUGGAUUAAAACAACAUAAAAAAUAAAGUACCACACAUAUUGCACUUUUUGCCAAAUGAAAUUUUUACCUCACGUUCAUCUCACCAGAGUCUCUUCAGAGGAGCCUGGUUUACAGGAUGAUGAAGCUAAUGAUGAUGAUACAGUAGUGUACACACUGCUCCUGUGAAACAGACUGGAAAGCAAGUCAGUGCUUCAGAGUAGCCCCUCAGAAAGAGUGGUACUAAGACUUCUUAGUGUUAUAUUAGUAUUGAUGAAGAGAAAACUGCUUGGAAGCUUCCAUGGGUCACAAGUUGGGGACAGGGCAGCAGACGUGAUCAAACAGGGCUGAGCAAACACCUGACUGACCAACAGAACCAGUCUCCUCAGCAGCUUACAUUGCAGUCAAUACAGAGGGUUAUGAAAUUUAUUGAUUUCUGCUUGAAAUAAAUGAGAUAAGCAAAUAGGCGCUUACAACACAGGUUCCAGCAGGAGGGAUCGUGCUGUGCAUCAGGCCGGUGUUCACACCACUGCUGUGCCUGACGGUUCCUGAUGGGCCUGGCUACUGCAGGGUGUGUCUCCAUUUCUCUCUGGGUCCCUAACCUUCAAAUAGCCUCUCUGCAGUCCCUCAUCUGUCAGCCUAACCAUCCUGCCUUAGCUCCCAGGUCUCCUGGACUAAGCAACUCAUGGCAUUGUUGGGGGGCAGGAGUUUAUAUCAAGCUGUAACUAUACCAUUCCUGCAGUUCUGAAAUGAGCAGCCUUCACUUUCAAUCUGGAAGGCAUUUUAAUAUCGCAAAUAUUGCAGCAGCACUUCUGUAGUAUAUCUUGGGAAAAUGUCUUCCUUCAGUCUAAACAAAUCAAGCCCCAUUUUAUAACUGGCUAUUUUGCAAAGACUCGAAACAGAUUAGAGAUCUUAAUGAAAUGAUCUCUUAAAUGAAAUCAUGUUCUUUAUUUCACGAAAUCAUCAAUCUUAAGCAUGAGUAGGAAUAAACAACUCCCAGAAGGAGCUUAAGUCAUUCUUCCUGGAUUUUCACUGUGUAUGAUUAAAUCACAAAAAUGACAGUCCCCAUACUGCCCUUUCCCACUGACAUCCAGAGUCCAACUGCGAGCACAGUGCCUCUGCAAAGCGUCCUGGCACCCAUGGUGAGGGCUGGCGACCAGGCAGUCUCUGGCCAGCAACAGGGACUGCUCAGGUUACUAACGUCGGUAGAGGCUGGGUUCGCAUGGCCAGAAUGAAACCCCUUAGGCUUUCCAUACUUCCUCACCUGCCUGGACACUAACUACAAAGAGGAAAGGCAACUUAAAGGUGUUUUCUAGAUGCAGCAUCAGUUAGACUCUGUGCUUU